UUGGCUCAGGAUGAACGCUGGCGGCGUGCCUAACACAUGCAAGUCGAACGGAGUAUAUGCGCUGAUGAUCGAAGUGCUUGCAUAGAGAGAAUCUUGCAUAUACUUAGUGGCGGACGGGUGAGUAACGUGUGGAUAACCUGGUCCAUCCAGGGGGAUAGCAGCUGGAAACGGCUGGUAAUACCGCAUAAGCGCACAGCAGGGCAUCCUGCGGUGUGAAAAGAUUUAUCGGGAUGGAAUGGAUCCGCAUCUGAUUAGCCAGUCGGCGGGGUAACGGCCCACCGAAGCGACGAUCAGUAGCCGGCCUGAGAGGGCGGACGGCCACAUUGGGACUGAGACACGGCCCAGACUCCUACGGGAGGCAGCAGUGGGGAAUA
rnacentral:rRNA from 1 species